rnacentral:rRNA from 1 species
UACGAAGGGGGCUAGCGUUGCUCGGAUUUACUGGGCGUAAAGGGCGCGUAGGCGGACAGUUAAGUUGGGGGUGAAAGCCCGGGGCUCAACCUCGGAAUUGCCUUCAAUACUGGCUGUCUUGAGUGUGAGAGGGGUGUGUGGAACUCCGAGUGUAGAGGUGAAAUUCGUAGAUAUUCGGAAGAACACCAGUGGCGAAGGCGACACACUGGCUCACUACUGACGCUGAGGCGCGAAAGCGUGGGGAGCAAACAGG